AUUGAACGCUGGCGGCAUGCCUUACACAUGCAAGUCGAACGGUAACAGGUCUUCGGAUGCUGACGAGUGGCGAACGGGUGAGUAAUACAUCGGAACGUGCCCGAUCGUGGGGGAUAACGAGGCGAAAGCUUUGCUAAUACAGCAUACGAUCUACGGACGAAAGCGGGGGAUCUGCGGACCUCGCUCGGACGGAGCGGCCGAUGGCAGAUUAGGUAGUUGGUGGGAUAAAAGCUUACCAAGACGACGAUCUGUAGCUGGUCUGAGAGGAUGAUCAGCCACACUGGGACUGAGACACGGCCAAGACUCCUACGGGAGGCAGCAGUGGGGAAUUUUGGACAAAGGGCGAAAGCAUGAUCCAGCCAUGCCGCGUGCAGGAUGAAGGCCUUUGGGUUGUAAACAGCUUUUGUACGGAACGAAAGGCCUCUGUCUGAUAAAGAGCGGUCAUGACGGUACCGUAAGAAUAAGCACCGGCUAACUACGUG
rnacentral:rRNA from 1 species